CAAUUUUUUUAUGUGAUUUUUUUUAAUCAAAUGAUUUAUACACUAUUUUUAUUCAGUAAUUUUUAUCACUGUAUCCAUUUCAUGUUUUGUAUGAUACAUUCUGCAUUAUGCCAAAUGCAAGUUCACAGAAAGGUGAAGCAUACGUUAAUUGAAGGGCGAUGUCACCGGAGUUUAGUCCAAAGUGGAUACUUCUCUCAUGUCGUUUAUUCACAGUUAUUGAUUUCCAAAUGUAAUCGGACUGAUUGAUGGAACUCAUGUUCGCAUUCAAAGGCCAAAGAACCACGAAGCCGAUUUCAUAAAUAGAAAAGGCUACCAUUCUUUGAACGUGCAAAUGGUAUGUGACCACAGCAAAAAAGUGAGGAGCUUAACAGCUAAAUGGCCAGGAAGCACACAUGAUGCGAGAAUAUGGAGAGAGUGUCAUCUACGGAACCAGUUCGAACAAGGAGCUCAUAAUGGCUUCAUUCUUGGAGACUCUGGGUACCCAUGUACACCCUACCUGAUGACUCCUUUCCGAACCCCCGAAGCACAGAAUCAAGAGCAGUUUAAUCUUGCUCUGUGCAAAACAAGAGUGCUUGUGGAGC